rfam:Mesorhizobium amorphae CCNWGS0123 contig00124, whole genome shotgun sequence.
CAGGCAUGCUGGAGCCCCGCCAGCGGCGCCUGGGCUCGAUCGAGCCUGACACCGGACCGGACGGGGCAGAA